UAAAAGGGGGGCCUUAAAGAGAAAAUGAAACGUGGAGAAGUUAGUCACGACACAAAAUAGACCGUUUUUCUUGCCGACCUAACGUUAGUGCGAAGGACAACAACGACGUCGAAGGCGAGAGGGAAGUUUUGUCAAACAGCAGUUGCCCGUCUUUGGAUGAGAAUAACAAUGCAGCUGACCGCUUGAUGAGGUGCAGAGAGCCGGGGAGCGAAGAAGCAGUCACAGACGAGCCAAAAGCUGGGUAUUCGGUGGGAAAUAUGUAAAAAAAUAUAUUAUUUGCGGAACACAAUGUCGCAAAACAGACUAUCGGGACUGGCAAUUCUUUCCAUCGAGAAUGCACGAAACCGUGAAUUAAACACCACGUUCCUGUUGGAUGAAUUUGCCGACAGAAAGGCCCGGAGAAUGCAACUAAAAUGAGUCCAGGGACAAGUGUGCCAUCUGCAGGCUGUGUUUCUAAAAACUUCAACCUCCCCAGACACCAUUACGCUCUUCCUGAAACUCCCUGCACAACCGCGGAUGCGUGCUGUCAGAAAAGCAAUCAAGACAGGAACUGAAAGACAUGUUGGGACAUCAAAAGCUAUUAGCUAAAAUUUAAUACGAUCCAUAUAGGAAGAUCUUUGGAGGUGUAAACAUGAUAAUUAAUAUACAUGGAAUGUCUCCGUCGUUAGUGCUGAUAUAGUGUCCUUCAAAGGGUAUACGCAUCAUUAAUUAUGAGAAGCACUAGCAUUUACAAAAUCAAAACAUAACAGCACGCGCAUCACUGGACAAACAGGGUGCUCGACAAAAAAUAUUAAUAAUGAAAAACAGAACUUGUGUGAUAGAUUUCUGUUAUUCAAUUUGAAACCAAGCAACAGCAUUUAAAAAAAGACAUAAAUCACAGGACAACUGUUAAAAAGAAACACCUAAAAGUAGAUGUUAUAUGUUACACUGCAUCCCUUUCAGAAUGAAUUAGAGUAAAGCUACAGUUUCCCUUCCACAGGCAGCACACGUGGAUCAUGAACGACUGAUUCAGCAACUGGACUUUCACAUCUGUAACUCAGAAGUGUGCAUUAACUAAUGAUCUCAUGACUCUGCUGAUACAAUUACAGGUUUUGGCAAACACCCAGAGAUACUUCCAAAUGUAUUAUGCUUUCUCUGGUUACUAUUGUACCACUUCCCAGUCACUUCCAGACUGACAGAAUCAAUUUGAUGGCUUGUUUGAAUUUUCCAUUUGUCACGUUGAAUUAAUCUGCUUAGGAAAAAAAGCAAUUUUACAUUUUAUUUUACAAAAACACUAAGUCAAAUGUUUGGGGUCGGUAAGAGUAAAACAGUAAAAAAAAAGUAAUAUUGUGAACUAUUAUCACUAUUUAAUUUGUUUUUAAAUAGUUUAGAUUUUUAUGUAUAUUAAUAAUUUGUAAUGAUGGCAAAAGCUGAAUUUUCAGCAGCAUUACUCCAGUCUUCAGUGUUGCAUGAUCCUUCAGAAAGCAUUCUAAUAUGCUGAUUUGGUGCUUAUUAUUAUUAAUGUUGAAAACAGUUAAUUUAUAAGGUAACACUUUA